AAGACACAGCAUUAUAAUGGCUAAAUUGAAAUAAAUACAUAAAUCUAUGCUCACAUAUACAGAAGUAGGGUAUACGAGAAAUUAAUGGCAAUUGGCCUUUACUUUUCUUAAAUUAAAAACAUGAAAAGGAGCUUGUUGCUUUGAAUUCUCCACUCAAAGCAUGCCUAUUGAAAGAACUCAGGAUGGAUUAGAGUAAUUAUGCACAAAUCAAACAGAUUCAGGCCCUAAAGGUCCCCAAAUCAAUGGAUAGGGUUUUUUUUAUACUUGACAGUGAAAGCAUCACUGAGCAUUUGUCAUGCAAUUUAAAUCCAACAUAGGAAAACUCAAAAGUAGGUAAACUCCCUGUAGAGUUAUUGUUAAUGCUGGACAGAAAAUAGGUAAAUACCAUUAUGACCAAGAUAGAUGGUAUAUUAAUAAUAAAGUAGAGUGAAAAUGCACUAAAUUAUGUUUGUGGAAACCAACAUCACUAGACAAAUCCAGAUUUGGAGGGUAAAGGAUAAUUUGAAGUCUGUGUUGCCAUGCAUGUAGCAGUUGUUAGAAAUGUCUUAGAGCAGCUAUCCUUUUUCUGGAUUUGUACGGUUGUUUUCCGGCAUUUAUUUCCAGGAAAGAUACAUGUUUAGUAGAAGGUGUUUCUGACAGUGCUAUAUGAACUAACAUGCUCCAAGUCAUAUUUCAUCAUUCAAAUCCAAAUCCCUGCACAGUUUUAAUGACUUGAUUCAUGCAGGAACAGAACAGAAGGCAGACCCAAAGAAGACAGAUUCAUCGCUAAGAGGAAUUCUGUUAAUAUUUCUGACUUUUACAGAUCCAUUAAAAGGUGGGCAGGAGCUGGGGCAAGGAUGGGAGCUCACCCCAUUAUGUGGCGCUCAGGUCUUGAACUUUGGCUGAUGUCUUUCAACCGACAAGCCCAGCAUCUUAAUUGCUGAGCCACCACCCCACCCCUUUGGAAACCAUAGAUGAUCUAAACAAGAAAUCCUGAGCACUUACCAGUGGAUCUCAAGUUUUUGCAUGAACUUCAGAGUGGUUUGCAAUCAGUAAAGUUUUCUCAACCUUAGAUCACACAGGAAAAAUGACCAGAAAUAACAGCCAGCAGAUGGCAGCACCGAGCUGACUAACCUCAAACAGCUAAGGGGAGUCAGACCUGGUUAGUACUAGUCCUGACCUGGUUGGACUAGUAGACAUCUGAGAUCCUUUCUAACUCUAUGACUCUAUGUCCUAUGUGCCGGAAAAACCAUCAAUAAACCCUCAGAUGGUAGCCUGAUGUUAUUACAUGCCUCUGUCUGCUGCUUCUUGGAAUUUGAGAUAGAGA